GAGGUUAUAGCUCAGUGGUAGAGUGCAUGCUUAGCAUGCACAAGGUCCUGGGUUCAAUCCACAGUGUCUCCC
rnacentral:tRNA from 1 species